UGCGCAGGCGGAAUAAUAAGUCAGUGGUGAAAUCUCUCGGCUCAACCGGGAAACUGCCAUUGAUACUGUUAUUCUUGAGUACAGUUGAAGUGGGCGGAAUGUGUCAUGUAGCGGUGAAAUGCUUAGAUAUGACACAGAACACCGAUAGCGAAGGCAGCUCACUAAGCUGUAACUGACGCUCAUGCACGAAAGCGUGGGGAUCAAACAGGAUUAGAUACCCUGGUAGUCC
rnacentral:rRNA from 1 species